CAGUAGCCGCGGUAAUACGAGGGGGGCAAGCGUUGUUCGGAUUUAUUGGGCGUAAAGGGUGCGUAGGCGGUUUGGCAAGUCUUGUGUGAAAUCUUCGGGCUCAACCCGAAGCCUGCACGAGAAACUACCGGACUUGAGUAUUGGAGAGGUGAGUGGAAUUUCCGGUGUAGCGGUGAAAUGCGUAGAUAUCGGAAGGAACACCUGUGGCGAAAGCGGCUCACUGGACAAUAACUGACGCUGAUGCACGAAAGCUAGGGGAGCAAACAGGAUUAGAUACCCCUGUAGUCCCUGUCUCUUAUAA
rnacentral:rRNA from 1 species